UACGUAGGGGGGCAAGCGUUGUCCGGAAUUAUUGGGCGUAAAGCGCGCGCAGGCGGUAAUGUAAGUUGGGUGUUUAAACCUAGGGCUCAACCUUGGGUCGCACCCAAAACUGCAUCACUUGAGUGCAGCAGAGGAAAGUGGAAUUCCACGUGUAGCGGUGAAAUGCGUAGAGAUGUGGAGGAACACCAGUGGCGAAGGCGACUUUCUGGGCUGUAACUGACGCUGAGGCGCGAAAGCGUGGGUAGCAAACAGG
rnacentral:rRNA from 1 species